GGAGAGAUGGCCGAGCUGGUCGAAGGCGCCUGACUCGAAAUCAGGUGUGGGUUCAUCCCACCGGGGGUUCGAAUCCCUCUCUCUCCG
rnacentral:tRNA from 1 species